CCUACGUGCGGCAGCAGUGAGGAAUAUUUGUCAAUGGGCUUACGCCUGAACCAGCCAAGUCGCGUGAGGGAAGACUGCCCUAUGGGUUGUAAACCUCUUUUGUCAGGGAGCAACGCCGGCUACGUGUAGCCGGACUGAGAGUACCUGAAGAAAAAGCAUCGGCUAACUCCGUGCCAGCAGCCGCGGUAAUACGGAGGAUGCGAGCGUUAGCCGGAUUUAUUGGGUUUAAAGGGUGCGUAGGCGGAAUGCCAAGUCAGCGGUAAAAUCGCGGGGCUCAACCUCGCUCCGCCGUUGAAACUGGCGUUCUUGAGUGGGCGAGAAGUAUGCGGAAUGCGUGGUGUAGCGGUGAAAUGCAUAGAUAUCACGCAGAACUCCGAUUGCGAAGGCAGCAUACCGGCGCCCAACUGACGCUGAAGCACGAAAGCGUGGGUAUCGAACAGGAUUAGAUACCCUAGUAGUC
rnacentral:rRNA from 1 species